rnacentral:rRNA from 1 species
GUUUGUCGCGUUGUUCGUGAAAUCUCACGGCUUAACUGUGAGCGUGCGGGCGAUACGGGCAGACUUGAGUACUGCAGGGGAGGCUGGAAUUCCUGGUGUAGCGGUGGAAUGCGCAGAUAUCAGGAGGAACACCGGUGGCGAAGGCGGGUCUCUGGGCAGUAACUGACGCUGAGGAGCGAAAGCGUGGGGAGCGAACAGGAUUAGAUACCCUGGUAGUCCACGCCGUAAACGGUGGGUACUAGGUGUGGGUUUCCUUCCUUGGGAUCCGUGCCGUAGCUAACGCAUUAAGUACCCCGCCUGGGGAGUACGGCCGCAAGGCUAAAACUCAAAGAAAUUGACGGGGGCCCGCACAAGCGGCGGAGCAUGUGGAUUACUUCGAUGCAACGCGAAGAACCUUACCUGGGUUUGACAUGCACAGGACGCCGGCAGAGAUGUCGGUUCCCCUUGUGGCCUGUGUGCAAGUGGUGCAUGGCUGUCGUCAGCUCGUGUCGUGAGAUGUUGGGUUAAGUCCCGCCACGAGCGCAACCCUUGUCUCAUGUUGCCAGCGGGUAAUGCCGGGGACUCGUGAGAGACUGCCGGGGUCAACUCGGAGGAAGGUGGGGAUGACGUCAAGUCAUCAUGCCCCUUAUGUCCAGGGCUUCACACAUGCUACAAUGGCCGGUACAAAGGGCUGCGAUGCCGCGAGGUUAAGCGAAUCCUUUUAAAGCCGGUCUCAGUUCGGAUCGGGGUCUGCAACUCGACCCCGUGAAGUCGGAGUCGCU